rnacentral:rRNA from 1 species
ACUCCUACGGGAGGCAGCAGUGGGGAAUAUUGCACAAUGGGGGAAACCCGUGAUGCAGCCAUGCCGCGUGUGUGAAGAAGGCCUUCGGGUUGUAAAGCACUUUCAGUAGGGAGGAAGGUAGUGUAGUUAACACCUGCACUAUUUGACGUUACCUACAGAAGAAGCACCGGCUAACUCCGUGCCAGCAGCCGCGGUAAUACGGAGGGUGCGAGCGUUAUCCGGAUUUAUUGGGUUUAAAGGGUCCGUAGGCGGAUUAAUAAGUCAGUGGUGAAAUCCCAUCGCUUAACGAUGGAACUGCCAUUGAUACUGUUAGUCUUGAAUGAGGGUGCAGUGGUUGGAAUGUGUAGUGUAGCGGUGAAAUGCAUAGAUAUUACACAGAACACCGAUUGCGAAGGCAGAUCACUAACCCUAAAUUGACGCUGAGGGACGAAAGCGUGGGGAGCGAACAGGAUUAGAUACCCUGUAGACUGUC